rnacentral:rRNA from 1 species
UACGGGGGGAGCAAGCGUUGUUCGGAUUUACUGGGCGUAAAGGGCGCGUAGGCGGCCACCGCAAGUCGGUUGUGAAAUCUCUGGGCUUAACCCAGAAAGGUCAACCGAUACUGCGGGGCUAGAGUGCAGAAGGGGCAACUGGAAUUCUCGGUGUAGCGGUGAAAUGCGUAGAUAUCGGGAAGAACAUCGGUGGCGAAAGCGCUCUACUGGACGGUAUCUGACACUGAGGGACGAAAGCUAGGGGAGCGAAUGGG